GGUGGAUGCCUUGGCACCAGGAGGCGAUGAAGGACGUGGCACGCUGCGAGAAGCCACGGGGAGCCGCGAGCAGGCGUUGAUCCGUGGAUGUCCGAAUGGGGCAACCCACCCCUAUGGGGUAUUGUCCGCUGAAUCUAUAGGCGGGUGAGGCGAACCCGGGGAACUGAAACAUCUCAGUACCUGGAGGAACAGACAUCAACAGAGAUUCCGCGAGUAGUGGCGAGCGAAAGCGGAACAGGCCAGUGGUCUGAUGCGAGGAAGCUGAACGGUCUGGAAAGGCCGGCCGGAGCGGGUGAUAGCCCUGUAGGCGUAAGGCGCAUGAGAUCCUUGAGUAGGGCGGGGCACGUGAAACCCUGUCUGAACGUGGGGGGACCACCCUCCAAGCCUAAAUACUCCCUGGUGACCGAUAGUGCACAAGUACCGUGAGGGAAAGGU
rnacentral:rRNA from 1 species